UUCCAGACUCCUACGGGAGGCAGCAGUGAGGAAUAUUGGUCAAUGGUCGGGAGACUGAACCAGCCAAGCCGCGUGAGGGAGGAAGGUACAGAGUAUCGUAAACCUCUUUUGUCAGGGAACAAAGGCGGGGACGUGUCCCCGGAUGAGUGUACCUGAAGAAAAAGCAUCGGCUAACUCCGUGCCAGCAGCCGCGGUAAUACGGAGGAUGCGAGCGUUAUCCGGAUUUAUUGGGUUUAAAGGGUGCGUAGGCGGAAUGCCAAGUCAGCGGUAAAAUCGCGGGGCUCAACCUCGCUCCGCCGUUGAAACUGGCGUUCUUGAGUGGGCGAGAAGUAUGCGGAAUGCGUGGUGUAGCGGUGAAAUGCAUAGAUAUCACGCAGAACUCCGAUUGCGAAGGCAGCUUACUAAACUAUAACUGAUACUGAAGCACGAAAGCGUGGGGAUCAAACAGGAUUAGAUACCCGCGUAC
rnacentral:rRNA from 1 species